rnacentral:lncRNA from 1 species
GAAUGGUAAUGGACUAACCAUCUCUCUUUUAUUAUAUAUAUAUAUAUAUGUAUGUAUGUAUGUGUCGGUGUGUAGGUAUGUAUAUGUAUAUAUGUAUGUAUGUAUGUGUAACCCUUUUUAUUAACUUAUAUCAAACUAGACCUUAGUAUCCAUCUUGCUGAUGAUCAACAAAACAAUUAUGUAAAAGAAGCAUGGGUGGUCAGGAA